AUGGCAUUGCUUCUUCGCUUCAAUCAACUGAGGAACAGCAUAUGGAGUAGUUGUCCUGCCAGGUUGCUUAUGCCACAUGCUGGAUUGUCAUCUGGAAAGUUGCCUGAUCCAAAAAGCUAUGAGAGGCGCCUUUUCUCAACAAGGGUUCAAGAGACAGCUAGUUUGGACAGAACAUGUAUUUCCGGAAUUCAGCCAUUAGAGUUUCAGCAGACUUCUGAACAUGAGCAAUCUGUCCCUCUUCUUAUCUUUGAUAUUAAGACCACUGGUUUUCUCCAGAAGCGUAAUAGAAUCACUGAGUUUGCAGUCCAUGAUCUUUGGGCAGGAAAGAAUAACACAUUUGAAACUCUCCUUAAUCCUGAGAUGGAUGUUCCUAACUACAUUGCAGCUGUCAGUAACAUCAACAAUGAUUUGGUCUGCCGACCUGAUGUCCCGAGUGAUGUACUUCCGUUACUACUGGCGUUUGUUCGAAGCCGCCAAACUCCUGGCAAACCAGUUAUAUGGGUUGCUCAUAAUGUAAAAAGAUUUGAUGGCCCUUUCCUGGCCCAAGAGUUUGAUCGUUGUUCAGCUCAGAUCCCUGAAGAUUGGCUGUUUGUUGACACCUAUUGCUUGGCAAGGAAAUUGCCUAAGCUUCUGCCAUCAGAAGAUAAGAGACAUCUCCAUGACUUGGGGUCACUAUGCAAACGCUAUGGGAUCUCUGUGGAAGGCCCUCCUCAUAGAGCAAUGCAAGAAGUGAUGAAAUUAUGUCAAGUUUUCCAGAAAAUGAGUUUUGAUCUAAAACUGACAUAUGAAGGCCUAAUGGAUGAGGCCAUCGAGGCUAGUUAUUUCAGCAAGUUUCUUAAGUAA
rnacentral:rRNA from 1 species